AUCUCAACUUUAUUAGAAGAGACGCAUUUAUUAGAUAAAAAGCCAAUGCAUGCUUUUACAGUAUGGAAAUUGGUGAUUUAUAAUAACUUGGCAAAUCGCAAAGUGAAAACAGGCGAUAAAUCAUUCAAGUUUCUGACCUAUCAGCUUUCGACGGUAUGGUAUUGGCUUACCGUGGCAGUGACGGUUAACGGGGGAUUAGGGUUCGAUUCCGGAGAGGGAGCCUGAGAAACGGCUACCACAUCUAAGGAAGGCAGCAGGCGCGCAAAUUACCCAAUUCUAACAGUUUGAGAGAGGUAGUAACAAGAAAUAACAAUACAAGGCAAUUAAAAUGCUUUGUAAUUGGAAUGAUAGAAAUUUAAACCCUUUUUAAAGUAUCAAUUGGAGGGCAAGUCUGGUGCCAGCAGCCGCGGUAAUUCCAGCUCCAAUAGCGUAUAUUAAAAUUGUUGCAGUUAAAAAGCUCGUAGUUGAAGUUCUGCUAAAAGUAACCGGUCUGCUUUUAAUAAAAGUGGUAUCUUGGUGUGUAUUUAGCAAUGAUGUCCUUUGAAGUGUUUUUUACUUUAUUGUAAUAAAGCAUAUUCAGGACUUUUACUUUGAGAAAAUUAGAGUGUUUCUAGCAG
rnacentral:rRNA from 1 species